CAUGCGCACAGGGGUCCUGGGAAGCCCUUAAAUACCGUCAUGCGGACGCGUACGACCUCUUUCCCUGCCGCCGCCGAGUGGUGCGGAGGCGGAAGGUCGCGUGCAGUCAAGAUUCGGCUACACUCGUAAUCCACCGCCAUGGCCGAGGAAGGCAUUGCUGCUGGAGGUGUAAUGGACGUUAAUACUGCUUUACAAGAGGUGCUGAAGACCGCCCUCAUCCACGAUGGCCUAGCACGUGGAAUUCGCGAAGCUGCCAAAGCCUUAGACAAG